rnacentral:rRNA from 1 species
CAUGAUGAACGCUAGCUACAGGCUUAACACAUGCAAGUCGAGGGGCAUCAGGAAGAAAGCUUGCUUUCUUUGCUGGCGACCGGCGCACGGGUGAGUAACACGUAUCCAACCUGCCCUUUACUCGGGGAUAGCCUUUCGAAAGAAAGAUUAAUACCCGAUGGCAUAAUGAUUCCGCAUGGUUUCAUUAUUAAAGGAUUCCGGUAAAGGAUGGGGAUGCGUUCCAUUAGGUUGUUGGUGAGGUAACGGCUCACCAAGCCUUCGAUGGAUAGGGGUUCUGAGAGGAAGGUCCCCCACAUUGGAACUGAGACACGGUCCAAACUCCUACGGGAGGCAGCAGUGAGGAAUAUUGGUCAAUGGGCGCUAGCCUGAACCAGCCAAGUAGCGUGAAGGAUGAAGGCUCUAUGGGUCGUAAACUUCUUUUAUAUAAGAAUAAAGUGCAGUAUGUAUACUGUUUUGUAUGUAUUAUAUGAAUAAGGAUCGGCUAACUCCGUGCCAGCAGCCGCGGUAAUACGGAGGAUCCGAGCGUUAUCCGGAUUUAUUGGGUUUAAAGGGAGCGUAGGUGGACUGGUAAGUCAGUUGUGAAAGUUUGCGGCUCAACCGUAAAAUUGCAGUUGAUACUGUCAGUCUUGAGUACAGUAGAGGUGGGCGGAAUUCGUGGUGUAGCGGUGAAAUGCUUAGAUAUCACGAAGAACUCCGAUUGCGAAGGCAGCUCACUGGACUGCAACUGACACUGAUGCUCGAAAGUGUGGGUAUCAAACAGGAUUAGAUACCCUGGUAGUCCACACAGUAAACGAUGAAUACUCGCUGUUUGCGAUAUACAGUAAGCGGCCAAGCGAAAGCAUUAAGUAUUCCACCUGGGGAGUACGCCGGCAACGGUGAAACUCAAAGGAAUUGACGGGGGCCCGCACAAGCGGAGGAACAUGUGGUUUAAUUCGAUGAUACGCGAGGAACCUUACCCGGGCUUAAAUUGCAGUGGAAUGAUGUGGAAACAUGUCAGUGAGCAAUCACCGCUGUGAAGGUGCUGCAUGGUUGUCGUCAGCUCGUGCCGUGAGGUGUCGGCUUAAGUGCCAUAGCGAGCGCAACCCUUAUCUUUAGUUACUAACAGGUUAUGCUGAGGACUCUAGAGAGACUGCCGUCGUAAGAUGUGAGGAAGGUGGGGAUGACGUCAAAUCAGCACGGCCCUUACGUCCGGGGCUACACACGUGUUACAAUGGGGGGUACAGAAGGCAGCUAGCGGGUGACCGUAUGCUAAUCCCAAAAGCCUCUCUCAGUUCGGAUCGAAGUCUGCAACCCGACUUCGUGAAGCUGGAUUCGCUAGUAAUCGCGCAUCAGCCACGGCGCGGUGAAUACGUUCCCGGGCCUUGUACACACCGCCCGUCAAGCCAUGGGAGCCGGGGGUACCUGAAGUACGUAACCGCAAGGAUCGUCCUAGGGUAAAACUGG